AUCCAGUUGACGAAUCCCAAACAGGACGAAACAUGCGCCUUGGAU
rnacentral:hammerhead_ribozyme from 1 species